AGAAUAUCAGCUUUGGGUGCUGGUGAUGGGGUAGUUACCUCUUCCUUGA
rnacentral:tRNA from 1 species